UUCACAGUGAGUCUCUGGUUUCCCAUCCCCUGCUUCAGAUGUGAAAACAUGUUCCUUGCAGUCGGAAUGUAAACUCAUCAGCUCCAUUAAACUUGAGCACUAUAUCCCAUCAUCCAGAUCAUCAAUGAAGAUGUUCACCAGGAAUUGCUGAUCACUGGCCUCCAGCUGGAUGUUGCAUUCCUGAUCACCACCCCAGCCAGCAGAUUUCAACCAGCCUGCUGUCUGCUCAUCCAGCCCAUACUUCAUGGGCUUCUCUGUGAGGGAGCCCUGUCUGUGUCCACUAGUACACACAUUCAUUUUGAUUUUAAAAAAUCAAACAGAAGUGAGAGUUUUAAGAGCAGAAUUAUUUUUCAAAGGGAAAUAGAAGGGUAUGGCUUUGAUGGAACGAGUGCCUUCAAGCUCCACUGGCAGGCACUGUUUGAAAACUAUUUGGGUGAUUUUUGAUAAGAAAUGAAAGAUGCAACAGCAGGAAGCCAUUCAGC